rnacentral:rRNA from 1 species
UACAGAGGUCUCAAGCGUUGUUCGGAUUCAUUGGGCGUAAAGGGUGUGUAGGUGGCGCGCUAAGUCGGGUGUGAAAUUUCGGAGCUUAACUCCGAAACUGCAUUCGAUAACUGGCGUGCUUGAGGACUGGAGAGGAGUACUGGAAUUCGAUGGUGGUAGCAGUGAAAUGCGUAGAGAUCAAUGAGGAAGACCAGUGGCGAAGGCGGGU